UUCUUUUUAGGGAAAUAACGCUGAAAAAAAGAGUUUGACAAUCGUUGUAUGAAAAUGAGAUUUUAUUACAAUAAAAGAAAAGUCUCGUAGGUGGGAGAGUUUGACAAUCCUUGCAUGAAAGAGAGAUUAUGAAGAAAAGAAUAAUGAUCUCAGCAGAAGGGGAAGACCAAAAUUUUCUCACAUCAAAUAUGAACAAGAACCAGUCCAGCAUACAAGACUUAAGAAGGGUGUGCAACACGAUAGAUGUGAAAAGGUAAAGAAAAGAGCCAACAUUGAUUAACCACAAAUUUAGGUAAAUGUUUAAUUUAGUUCCUAAAUCCUAUAUAGGUACCAUUUCUAAUCGCUUAUUUAAUUUUGUAUGAAUAUUUUGGGAUUUCAAGUAUUUGAAGGAAUGCCAGUGGAUCAUGAGGUGUUAUAUUGACAAAUUCAAUAAGAAUACUAAGUUUUUGGGAAUCCUAAAAAUACAUAUGCUAGUCCCGAUAAACUAGCAAAUUCCUCACCAGUUACAAGAGCCUAACAAGGAAUUUUUUGUAGCAGUUCAAAAUUUAACUCUUUACCCUAUGAUCCAUAUACCUUGGUCAACUUUUUUGAAAUAUUAAGAUAUCAAAUGACUUUUUUGGGAUGGCUGCCGGUAAGGAACGGGCACUCAUUGGUCGUCAUUCAUAAGAGUCUAGAGAUCCCACUUGAUAAAUAAUGGUGCAUAUUCCAAAACUGCAUGACCAACAAUUUUUGGGACAAGGAGUAAGAAGUAUUUUCACAGUAAUAUGUAGCUUAAAAUAAAGCACCACUCCUUGUCCCAAAAAUAAAUAAAGGGACACACGUAGAGAGAAGAAAAAACAGGAAAAGUUAAAAUGUUAGAGGUCGCAUUGAUCAAAAUUUAUUGAAGUUUGACUUUUUCUCCAUUUUGGAUUUCUGAUCCAAUUUAUGCAUUUUUCUCUUUAACUUAUUGAUUAGCUUAAAUAAACAUUUUAUUUUAAUGGCAUUUCCUCAUAGGUUUUUCAGAUUACAAGCAUAUAAUAUACUAUACUUUUUCCUACUUAUUAGAAGAGGGAAUAGCAGGUACGCCUCCGUCAACAUAAGUGCUUUCAUAGAAAUAAAAAUUGAUCUGAGGAUAUUUAUGUCAUUUCAAACCUUUUCACUCGAUCUCUCAGGUUACACGUGUAGUUCCAGUUUAAACAUGUGGCAGCAUCUCUGAUUUUCAGCUAAAAAUCUCGACCGAACACAGAGAACUAAGGACAUUUCCAGAAAAGCAACGCUCCAGAACAUCUGUUCUCUCUCUCCUCUUGCUCUCAAGUUUGUAUUGCAAUGUGUUUUCUUCCUUCAAUCGUAUUUUCUGGUGGGUAUCCCUUCAACCAUCUCUUGAUUCGUCUUUAUCUGUAUCUCUUGAUUCAUGUUUGUCUAUAUUUUUCUUGAGGAAUAUUUAAGAAAAUUCUUGAACGAAUACCAUUUCUAUUGAAGUACUCUAGGUGUUUGAGAAAAUUCUUCAAUAAAUUACCAUAAUUUCUUAUGCAUAUUUAUGUCUUCUCUAUUGUUUAUGUGUUUGAAAAAAUACUUGAACAACCAAACUUAUCAGUUGAGUUAGCAAGGACGAGGUGACCGCUUCAAUUAUUAAUUGUUUGCUAUGUUUUUCUUCUCGCUUCUACUAUUUUUUUGCUGGUCAUAUAUAUCAUCAAAUACCUUUGUUUCUUUAUUCGAUCUCUGACCUCUUCAUUUGCUAUCUUUGUUCUCGGUCAAUUAAUUUUUCAAUUAUUAGCUUAUGCACUUCUUGUUUUCUCAUAUGUGCACUGAGGUUGUUUUAGUUAUUUCUAUCGAUUUAUUUGACGAUAACUGGGGUAUUUGGGGCUUUGACAUAUUUCUCAGAUGCUGAGGGCCUGUGUGUAUUUGAGACGGAUUCUUUUGCUAUUUCCAUAAUGCAUAGAUUGUUUUGGAAUAUUUUUUAAUAAUUAAUGUUUUCCUCUAUAAACUAUCAACGUGGUGGUUAAAUAAAAUUAGCUUUUCGAUUUAUUGACACUAAAAUAGUACAAUCGGUAGGAUGCUAACCUAGAAGUGUGUUAAAAGAUUAUAUUUCCUCUGCGCUUGAGAUAAUUAGAUUCAAAGAGCUAUUUAUAUGAACUCACUAUUAGAUUAAAUAAUUACUGAUCCAAUAUGUUCGGAAUUGAGUAGUUGAUUGCUUGAUUUAUAUUGAAAAUAUGUCAGAGCUGCUAUAAAAUCUGAUGAGUUUUACUACUCAAAACUAUCCAAUUGGCCGGACAGCUUCCAGAUCUUCUUUAACCUUUUCAUCAUUUUCUAAUGAAUAAACAAUGAUUAAGCAUAUCAAGGAAAAAAAACAAUCACCAUGAUAAGCAAAAACAUGCAAAAUCAGAAAGAAAAAGAACACAAAUACCUCAAAAUGAGAACUAACUUUGAAAUUGUCCUAGAAGUCUCGAUUUUGAACCAAAAAAGGUCUCGCUCAUGACCAAGGCUUGUUUUGGUCUCUAUCCACCUAAACCCUUGCCUUGACACUUAUAUAGAGUUAAAUUCAAAAUGAAAUUCGAACAAUUCUGAGGCCAUUUGAAGGGAGUUUUAGUAAAAUAACAUGUGUCAAGCGUCAAAUAAUUCCAUGAAUAUUAAAGAGAUUAUACUGUAAUCCAAUUUCCUUGCAAGGAUAAAAAUUUGUCGGAAAGCUCUUUUGCAUGAUCUUAAAUAUAAUGUAAAAUACUAUAAAUCCAACAAGAGAAAUAUUUUUUUCAAGCAAUACACAUGCCAAUUAGUCUAUGGCGAAUCGAAAAUAUAGUCGGUUAGAAAAAUCUACCAGACCAACAUGGAAAAGUUGAUGACACCAUUAUGCCUUGCUAAUAAAGAUACAUACCUUAUCCCUCGUUAUAUUCUCUUUGGUAAGAGUUGUAACAGCUGCAUUUAGGUGAAAGAUCAGAGAUAUUAUAUAUUAGUUAUGAAAAAAACUAAGAAAGAUAAAAUAGAAAUCAACAGUCAAAUGAGCUACUCUAAGUUGCCUUUAUCCUCUCAUCUGAUUCACAUAGCCCAAGUACAUAAGACUUUUACACACGAUCAACAGAACUAAGGCACAAAACUCAUAAAAGUAACUCUUUGGAACACUGAAUGUGCAUGUCUUAAGAUGUAGAAUAGUAUCACUUUAAUGUGUAGUUAAAAUAUUAUGCCUAAGAAGAAAUUGACUAACCAGGUGUACACUAUAUUUUGAGAAUAACGUAAGUAGCGCAGGCGUAAAAAUAGAAGAACUAAGAAUGAAGAAAGUAGUAAGGUAGAUACUGAGUAAAACUGAAUUGAUCCCGCUGGUAAAUGAGUUUGAACUGAAUAUGAGCAUAAAAAAAUGUAAUUGCUUAUGACUGGAAAGAAUAUUACACAACUAAUGCUAGAAAAAAAAAUUACAUUUAGUAGUUAGUACUACUAUCACAUUCUCAUUUAAGACUAUAUCAAUACUGCUAGCAAAAGAAUCACAUUUAGUAGUUAGUACUACUAUCACACUCUCAUUUAAGACUAUAUCAAAUAUAACUGAAUGUUAAAUUAGCAGAAUUUUUUUAAGCAUUUUAUAGAACAUAUGGAAGCCUUAACAUGUCUCAAGCUACAAUCUCAACUUGAACUUGGCAUUCUUCAAAUAAUCUAAAUCGACAUUCCUUAUCUACCUUAAUAGCUUCAACUCUUGAACUUUCACAAUUGCCAAAAUAACGCAGCUACAAUAGGAGAAAGUACAAAGUGUUUUCUACAAAUUCUUCUAAUAUUAACCAAGCAUUUCAAUCUGUGAACAUUGAAGUUAUGCCAACAAAAAGAAUAGCAAUAGAUGUUAAACUAAGUAGAAAAAGAGCAAACAGAAAUAAUCAGAAGCACAAGUUGCUCAAUAUGUCCCUUAAAAGAAAUGGCACAGGAAAGCAUAGUGAAGAGUGGAAAUGACUGUAACAGAAAACAUGUGCUUAGUCAAAUUCCUUUGCCUGAUUUGCUAGUAAAAGCACCCUUUUGGAGUGUCAUAUAUGCUACCACUGUUAUACUUUUCGAGGCAACAUGGAAGGACUUAUCAACUGCAAGACACAACAGAAAAUAAUACAAGUAGCCGUGGAAAUUUGUGGUAAAAGUAUAACUAUAAAACAAGAAAGGAGUGGUCGAUAAAAAGGAGUUUUAUUUUAACAGGAAAAAUGAAUUAAAAGGUAGAAUCGAAUCAACAAACGAAAACAACAGUGAAAGAUCUAAAUUUUUAUAAACUGGUUCACUUAGUAUCUAUCAAAUAUAUAUGAUGUCAAUUAUUAGUACAUUCAUAAUAGUUGCAUAGAGGUAUUAUACUAGCCCUGCAAAACUCUUUUGUAUAACCUUUUGUCAAUAUGAUUAUUUUAGUGUUCAGCUAUGCCUAUAGUGCAAAAUAUUGUUGAGCUGAUUAUGAGACUUGCAGCUAAUGUGCUUCAUGAUCUACAAGUGUUUUCAUCACAAAUCGAUUCCUAAAUUCUAGUUUAUUUUAUUAUUUAGUGAAGUUCUGCUGUUAUAUGGUUUCCGCAUAGUAUGACAUCUUGAUCAUUAACAAUAUUUGCUAUGUGUUGGAUUCACUUGCACUUAAUGUUAAGUGACUGUGUUUUAGCCUGCAAAAUAGUUGUCUUUGAUGUUCUUAUCAUUCUAUAGUUGGAACAAUAAAAGUUACUUGACUAAUCCUUAUUUUCUAAUAUCUGGUAAUAAUUGUAGGGUUCAAUUACGCACAGUAGACAGUUGGACUACCUAAUGUCAGCAAAGUCCGGGAAGAUCAACAAACCAUUCUCUUGAUAUGCAAUUCAUAUUCCUUGGUAUAAAAUGUGUUUGUGCAAGUAUUUUACGAAAAAUCAAUAGUUGGAACAAGUUUUGGUUGGGCUCGGACAAAGUCCGGGCUAACCUUACUAGUACUAUUGUAGAAGGGAAUAAGUAGAGGAGCUUGGGGUCGUCAGGGGUAUCUUGGGAAUUUCCUUUUCAUCUUUCUUAUCCCCUGGACAUGCGUGUUAUUCUCUUCAAUGGUGGGCCCCAUUGACACUUUAUGUUGCCGCCUCCAAGCUUUACAGUUCUCAUUGUUUUGUUUGACUCUUUUACUCUUUACUUGCUUACUAUUGGGUAACUCAAUUUUUGAAUUUUAGGCUAUUAAAUAUUAAAAAGAAUUAUUUACUUGAACUUGUUCUUUCUCAAAGAAAGGUUAGGCAGUGUUUAUUCAGUUAUUGAAGAUUUAUUAGUGUCUUAAAAAGUUCUUGUCAUGUGAAUUUUGUAAGUAAAGUUCCAAUUAAACUACACAAACUAAAAAUAAAUGUAAUUUCCUAACAUGCAUUUAGGAAGGAA
rnacentral:lncRNA from 1 species